ensembl:piRNA 21ur-1881 ncRNA
UUUGAUUGCUUCUUGCCUUCA